rnacentral:pre_miRNA from 2 species
GCCACAGAUGUCCAGACACAAUUCUUGGUUUGUAUGUUUCCAUUGCACAAGAAUUGCGUUUGGACAAUCAGGAGCA